AUCACUCUGCAGGUUUCACUUGAAGCAAGUUUUUUUUCCUGCAGUCCAGAACAAUCUCGUUCAGCAGAAGGAUAAGACCAGGCUGAGCUGAAAGCGAUAUUUGAAGAUGAUAAAAGUUUUUAGAAGUAUGAGGACCAGAAUCAUAGUGAGAAAGUCACCAACGAAGUAAAAUAAUAUGGAUUAACAAUGAUGUGAAAACUAGUCUCUUGAGAAGAAAGUGAUGUUUGAAUGUUACUGCAUUAGGGUUAUUUCAUCUUCCUCCUUCCUUGUUUCCAUUUCUUAUUGGAUCUGCUAGCCCUUCAUUCCUCAUGACUAUAAAUUGGCAGUGAACAGUGACACAGAGCGAGGCUGAUGCUGUGAAACACACACCAGGAAUCAUAUUGCAGCUGAUGGCAGGAGUCAGCGUUGCUGAAGAGACAGCUGGGGAAAGGCAGAGAGACAUCUGUAGUCAGCAUUGACAUAAAGGCUAACAAGAUAGAUGAGAUCUCUAAACCCUAUUAUUAGUAUGGACUGAAAACACGAAGGUCUCACUUAUGACCAGAAAUGAGAAGCCUUCUCUUUGAUUCCAGCACCAUCCUCUUACCAGAUUUUUAAUAUUCUUAGUUGGAAUGUAUUUAAUGAUUUUGGACUACAAACAUUACAGAAAAUCAUGAUUAUCAUUUUAUUAAGCAUUAAAUAGCAGGUGCUGCAGACAACGGAAGAGCUGAAAAAAGACAUUGCAAAUGGAGUUAAGAUAAGAGAAGGGCAUCCAAGUGUUUAUAAUUUAGCCCCAGAGGCAUCAGGAACGCUAAAAGAGGAGAGAUGCCAUGUUUCCAGUAGGAAGUCAGAGAAUUCCCAUGGCUCACUCUGAGAAAGCAAUAGGAGCAGAUGGCCGGAGAUGUCAAUCCCAGAGUCUGGCCCCAAGAA